rnacentral:rRNA from 1 species
AGUGAACGCUGGCGGCGUGCCUAAUACAUGCAAGUCGAACGGAGUGGCGCACGGGUGAGUAAUAUAUAGCUAACCUGCCCCUUGCUGCAGGACAACAGUUAGAAAUGACUGCUAAUACUCCAUAGCAAGGGAUGGGACUAUAGCGUAUAAGCUAGUCGGUGGGGUAACGGCCUACCGAGGGUAUGACGCGUAACUGGUCUGAGAGGAUGAUCAGUAGCAGUGGCACUGAGGCAGAGUCCGAGCUCCUACGGGAGGGGGCGAUAGGGCGAAUUGCGCAAUGGGGGAGACCCUGGAGCAGCUACGCCGCGUGGAGGAUGACACUUUGCGGAGCGUAAACGCCUUUUUUUAGGGAAGCGGUACCUAACGAGUAAGCACCGGCUAACUCCGUGCCAGCAGCCGCGGUAAUUC